rnacentral:tRNA from 1 species
AUUUAAGUAGCUUAUAGUUAGAGCAUAACACUGAAGAUGUUAAGGAAGUAGAAUUAUUCUUAAGUA